UGGGAAAAGGUUUAGAGGAUUCGCAUUAGGCCCAGCAGAGACACCACCAGAUGGCUGCACUGCCGGUAGAGGUGCAGCCUGAGCCUGAGAUGGAGCCUGCAGGUUUUGUGCCUGUUGAGCAGGAGCAGGUGCUCGAGCCACAGGUGGGGCCUCUACGGAUUCAGGUAUUCCCUAACAGUCAAACCAAAAUGAAACAGUAAGAAUAACAUGUAUUUAGAAUGGAACACAAAUUCAGUUCCCUCUGGAUUUUGUGCAAAAACAACUGAGCACAUGAAAGGCAGGACAUGGAAAUAAGGACUUCAAAAGAAGAAUAAAACAAAAUUCAACAAGCAUUGAACUUACAGAGUACAGGUAGUCAAUAGCCCUCUCAGGGUUGUUAUACGCAGCACGUAAAGCACGGACAACCAUAUCACGUUCCCAGGUGCCACCACCCAUGUCAAGAAUUUGUUGGACUGUCUGUUCUAGAAUGCCGCCAGAGACAAGGUUUGAUGCAGCCUGAC
rnacentral:lncRNA from 1 species